rnacentral:rRNA from 1 species
GACGAACGCUGGCGGCGUGCUUAACACAUGCAAGUCGAACGGAAAGGCCCUGCUUUUGUGGGAUGCUCGAGUGGCGAAAGGGUGAGUAACACGUGAGUGACCUGCCCUUGACUUUGGGAUAACUUCAGGAAACUGGGGCUAAUACCGGAUAGGAGCUCCUGCUGCAUGGUGGGGGUUGGAAAGUUUCGGCGGUUCGGGAUGGACUCGCGGCUUAUCAGCUUGUUGGUGGGGUAGUGGCUUACCAAGGCGUCGACGGGUAGCCGGCCUGAGAGGGUGACCGGCCACAUUGGGACUGAGAUACGGCCCAGACUCCUACGGGAGGCAGCAGUGGGGAAUAUUGCACAAUGGGCGGAAGCCUGAUGCAGCAACGCCGCGUGCGGGAUGACGGCCUUCGGGUUGUAAACCGCGUUCGCCUGUGACGAAGCGUAAGUGACGGUAAUGGGUAAAGAAGCACCGGCUAACUACGUG